rnacentral:misc_RNA from 1 species
UCUCCGUUGGUGAACCAGCGGAGGGAUCAUUACCGAGUUUACAGCCCCCAAACCCCUGUGAACAUACCUAUCGUUGCCUCGGCGGUGCCCGCUCCGGCGGCCCGCCAGAGGACCCCCAAACUCUUGUUUUAUACAGUAUCUUCUGAGUAACACGAUUAAAUAAAUCAAAACUUUCAACAACGGAUCUCUUGGUUCUG